UAACCGCUGGCAGGACGUGCAGCCUGCGAAUGUUG
rnacentral:ncRNA from 1 species